CGUAUCACCCAAGACAACUUUACGGAGUUGACGAUUGACGGAGCGAAGCGACGUCAAAGCGUUCAUUAAAGUCGAGUUGGCUUAGGGAUACGUUCGUUGGGUAGGGGAGCGUUCUGUAAGCCUGUGAAGGUGUGUCGUGAGGCAUGCUGGAGGUAUCAGAAGUGCGAAUGCUGACAUAAGUAACGAUAAAGCGGGUGAAAAGCCCGCUCGCCGGAAGACCAAGGGUUCCUGUCCAACGUUAAUCGGGGCAGGGUGAGUCGACCCCUAAGGCGAGGCCGAAAGGCGUAGUCGAUGGGAAACGGGUUAAUAUUCCCGUACUUGGUGUUACUGCGAAGGGGGGACGGAGAAGGCUAUGUUGGCCGGGCGACGGUUGUCCCGGUUUAAGCGUGUAGGUGUGUGUUCCAGGUAAAUCCGGUUCACUUUAACACUGAGGCGUGACGACGAGGCACUACGGUGCUGAAGCAACAAAUGCCCUGCUUCCAGGAAAAGCCUCUAAGCAUCAGGUAACACGAAAUCGUACCCCAAACCGACACAGGUGGUCAGGUAGAGAAUACCAAGGCGCUUGAGAGAACUCGGGUGAAGGAACUAGGCAAAAUGGUGCCGUAACUUCGGGAGAAGGCACGCUGACACGUAGGUGAAGUGAUUUACUCAUGGAGCUGAAGUCAGUCGAAGAUACCAGCUGGCUGCAACUGUUUAUUAAAAACACAGCACUGUGCAAACACGAAAGUGGACGUAUACGGUGUGACGCCUGCCCGGUGCCGGAAGGUUAAUUGAUGGGGUCAGCGUAAGCGAAGCUCCUGAUCGAAGCCCCGGUAAACGGCGGCCGUAACUAUAACGGUCCUAAGGUAGCGAAAUUCCUUGUCGGGUAAGUUCCGACCUGCACGAAUGGCGUAAUGAUGGCCAGGCUGUCUCCACCCGAGACUCAGUGAAAUUGAACUCGCUGUGAAGAUGCAGUGUACCCGCGGCAAGACGGAAAGACCCCGUGAACCUUUACUAUAGCUUGACACUGAACAUUGAGCCUUGAUGUGUAGGAUAGGUGGGAGGCUUUGAAGUGUGGACGCCAGUCUGCAUGGAGCCGACCUUGAAAUACCACCCUUUAAUGUUUGAUGUUCUAACGUGGACCCGUAAUCCGGGUUGCGGACAGUGUCUGGUGGGUAGUUUGACUGGGGCGGUCUCCUCCUAAAGAGUAACGGAGGAGCACGAAGGUUGGCUAAUCCUGGUCGGACAUCAGGAGGUUAGUGCAAUGGCAUAAGCCAGCUUGACUGCGAGCGUGACGGCGCGAGCAGGUGCGAAAGCAGGUCAUAGUGAUCCGGUGGUUCUGAAUGGAAGGGCCAUCGCUCAACGGAUAAAAGGUACUCCGGGGAUAACAGGCUGAUACCGCCCAAGAGUUCAUAUCGACGGCGGUGUUUGGCACCUCGAUGUCGGCUCAUCACAUCCUGGGGCUGAAGUAGGUCCCAAGGGUAUGGCUGUUCGCCAUUUAAAGUGGUACGCGAGCUGGGUUUAGAACGUCGUGAGACAGUUCGGUCCCUAUCUGCCGUGGGCGCUGGAGAACUGAGGGGGGCUGCUCCUAGUACGAGAGGACCGGAGUGGACGCAUCACUGGUGUUCGGGUUGUCAUGCCAAUGGCACUGCCCGGUAGCUAAAUGCGGAAGAGAUAAGUGCUGAAAGCAUCUAAGCACGAAACUUGCCCCGAGAUGAGUUCUCCCUGAGACUUAGAGUCUCCUGAAGGAACGUUGAAGACGACGACGUUGAUAGGCCGGGUGUGUAAGCGCAGCGAUGCGUUGAGCUAACCGGUACUAAUGAACCGUGAGGCUUAACCUU
rnacentral:rRNA from 2 species